UACGUAGGGUGCGAGCGUUGUCCGGAAUUAUUGGGCGUAAAGAGCUCGUAGGCGGUGUGUCACGUCGGCCGUGAAAACCUGCAGCUUAACUGUGGGCGUGCGGUCGAUACGGGCAUCACUGGAGUUCGGCAGGGGAGACUGGAAUUCCUGGUGUAGCGGUGAAAUGCGUAGAUAUCGAGAGGAACACCAGAGGUGAAGACGGGUUGCUGGGCUGAUAACUGACGGCUGAGGCGCGAAAGCCGGGGAGCGAACGGG
rnacentral:rRNA from 1 species